UACGUAGGGUGCAAGCGUUGUCCGGAAUUAUUGGGCGUAAAGAGCUCGUAGGCGGUCUGUCGCGUCGGCUGUGAAAUCCCGAGGCUCAACCUCGGGUCUGCAGUCGAUACGGUCAAACUAGAGUAUUGCAGGGGAGACUGGAAUUCCUGGUGUAGCGGUGAAAUGCGCAGAUAUCAGGAGGAACACCGGUGGCGAAGGCGGGUCUCUGGGCCGUAACUGACGCUGAGGAGCGAAAGCAUGGGGAGCGAACAGG
rnacentral:rRNA from 1 species